rnacentral:rRNA from 1 species
AUAUGUAGCCAUAUCACCCUGCAACCCACAACCGGCAACCCACUGAAGCUAAACAGGUAGGAGCCUGGUCAGUACCUGGAUGUGAGAGCUCCUGGGAAAACAAAGGUUGCUGCUGGAA